rnacentral:rRNA from 1 species
UACGUAGGGCGCAAGCGUUGUCCGGAAUCAUUGGGCGUAAAGAGCUCGUAGGCGGCCUGUCGCGUCCGCUGUGAAAUCCCGGGGCUUAACCCCGGGCGUGCAGUGGAUACGGGCUGGCUGGAGGCAGGCAGGGGAGAACGGAAUUCCCGGUGUAGCGGUGAAAUGCGCAGAUAUCGGGAGGAACACCGGUGGCGAAGGCGGUUCUCUGGGCCUGUACUGACGCUGAGGAGCGAAAGCGUGGGGAGUGAACAGG